rnacentral:misc_RNA from 1 species
AAGGAUCAUUAACGAGUUUUGAAACGAGUUGUAGCUGGCCUUCCGAGGCAUGUGCACGCUCUGCUCAUCCACUCUACCCCUGUGCACUUACUGUAGGUUGGCGUGGGCUCCUUAACGGGAGCAUUCUGCCGGCCUAUGUAUACUACAAACACUUUAAAGUACCAGAAUGUAAACGCGUCUAACGCAUCUAUA